CUAAGAUCUUCUGAAACCAAUCUGUUAAUUAUCCCCAGAGUAAACACGAAACAUGGGAAAGCAGGAUUUAGUUGCUAUGCAACAAAUAGCUGGAAUAAACUCCCUGAGGAUUUUAGACUUGCCCCAACUCUGAGCACCUUUAAAACAAGAUUGAAGACUUUUAUGUUUGCUUUAGCUUUCUGCUAAAUCUUAAAUACUUUGCCUUUAUUUUACUAAAAUGCCUUUUUAACUUUCCCUUCAUUUUCUAUUUUUACCAGAAAGAUACAUGAUCUGAUACCAGAGAGAAAGGAUAAGGGUUUGAGACCCAAGUUCUGUCUGGGUUAGAGUCCUAGAAACUGGGUUGGAGUCCCAGAGAAAGGACCAAGUUCCUUAGGUCGGGUUGGAGUCCCAGAGAAAGGACCUAGUUCCUUUAGGUCGGGUUGGAGUCCCAGAGAAAGGACCAAGUUCCUUUAGGUCGGGUUGGAGUCCCAGAGAAAGGACCUAGUUCCUUUAGGUCGGGUUGGAGUCCCAGAGAAAGGACCUAGUUCCUUUAGGUCGGGUUGGAGUCCCAGAGAAAGGACCAAGUUCCUUUAGGUUGGGUUGGAGUCCCAGAGAAAGGAUCAAGUUCCUUUAGGUCGGGUUGGAGUCCCGACGUGGGUUCCUUUGGUUCGUGGUUAGUGUUAUGUUGUUUUGAUUCCUGCCGUGGAAUCACAGAUAUUGGUUGUGUUGAAUCUGAGAGGAACAAAAAGUGAGCCAUCAUCUGGUGUUGGCAUACCGAGCUCCGUGGGAGACGUUUCCAAGUUCUGUCCGGGUUAGAGUCCUAGAAUCUGGAUUGGAGUCCCAGAGAAAGUACCUUUAGGUCGGGUUGGAGUCCCGACUUGGGUUCCAGAGAGACUGU
ensembl:lncRNA